GCGCACCAAUGUAUGUACUCGAUUUCGUGCUACUUCAAUCUUAUUCACACCUUGAAAUAAACCCAAUCCCAUACCACACAUUAACAAGUCAUCAAUAGAUGCUAUGGCUGUAUAUCCUAUUAGCAAAAAGAUGUUCUUGAGAUCAUCCCUUCCUAGUUUAUUGUAGCUCAACUCGAUAGCUUUAAAUGCGGCUGGCUGUACAUCCUUAAAAUUCGAUGAAGAAGGCCUUCUUAGCUGUUCCAAUGCAUCCUUCCAUUCACGUAUGCUCUUGCUCCUUAAUGCCCUUGCAACCGUCACAAUGGAAACUGGUAGACCUGCACAUUCCUUUGCCACAUCCCUUGCUACCUCUUUCAAUUCAUUAUCUUCAACAUAAUCACCUGCCAUCUUCGUGAAUAGACUCCAAGCUUCAUCUUCUUUUAAAAAUCCAACUGGGAAAUUUUUUCGAGACUCCAUCUCUCCAGACAAUACUUCUUCACUCCUUGCCGUGAACAGCACUUUACAUCCCAUGUGAUCAUCUCCGUGAGGAAUUCCGACAUCCAACAAAUCAAGAUUUUCCCAAAUAUUAUCCAAGAUUACAAGGAUCCUCUUCUCUUUCUUCAGUCGAUCAUAGAGUCUUCUUGCCCUACCCGAUUCACUCUCCUCAUCAAAUUUUAGACCUAGUUUAUCCGCGAUUUCUCCUUGAAGCUUUCUUACGUCUCGACUCUCAGACACCUCAGAAAAAACCACCUGAUCGAAAAGCUUGUCACUCUCUGCUUUUCUAGCAACUUCUUUAGCUAGCGUCGUCUUUCCGAUUCCGCCCAUUCCAUAAAUCAAAAGCAUGUUGACAUUGGGAUUUUUUAAUGCAUCAAUUAUUUCAUUCAGAAUGGACGUUCUUGAUUCAAAGGCCUCGAAGUCUUUGUUAGGCAUAAGCAAGGUAUCCUCCGGAAUGAUGCUGUAGGAAAUACUAUUAACUGGUCUAGCGUCCAGGACUUUGACAACAGCCUCCUUCUGCCUCUCUGCUUCCUUGCUAAGUCGAGGGCGGGUCUUCAAAUUAGGACAUAACCCCUUGAAACAACGCUUAUUUGCAGUGGCUUCAUCUUCUGUAAAUUUAUCUGCCUCUUCAAUGACACUGUUGGCCGUUGCAAGCCAAUUCUCAACGUUCUCUUCAAUCUCUUCUCCUUUUCUUUUAGCCUCAUCAACCUGGUGCUCUGUAUUCACCCUCUCAGACUUUAGUUUCACAACUUCAGUGUUGAGAUUCUGUAAGUUGCUCGUGUACUUACUCUCACGCAAAUAGCUAAUUUGGCGAUAUGCGUGAGGAGCCAAGCACUUUGCAACUUCUAAAGCAAUAGUAAGAAUGAUUUCAGCCAUCUUCAGUCCUUUGUCCUUGUCUCUCUAUCUCUCUUUUUCUGAAUUUUGGAAAAACAAUUCAACAAGUGACCACAACAAGAUGGAACAAAAUAAAAAGGAAAAAAAUACAAAGAGUGGAUGGAGAAUAAAACAGAGACAGCGGCACAGCUAGACACAACUAGAUAGAGAACAGAGGAAAACCAAAUAACAAGACUUAAGAUUACAACAAACAGAGGCCAAGUAUUAUUGUUGAGAUCAGAAGAUGGAAAAUUCCAAAGAGUUGAUGGCAGAUGCUGAAUAACAGAACAACAAUGAACACAAUAAACAGAAGCAAAGUGUGUUUGUGAUCGACAGACGGAAGUAAGGAAAGCGGUUGUUGAUUGAAAAUGAAUGAAUGCAAAGAAAGACUGAUGUUAAAAAUUGAUGUCAAGGAAUAAUUGAACUUUCGCUGAAUUAUUGUUUGUGGCUUCUUUUACUGUUUAUUUGUGGGUCAUGUCUUUUGGAACUAAUCUUGUCCAAAAAAUGUUGUUUAUUUGUGGGUCAUGUUAUUCAGCAUCUGCCAUCAACUCUUUUGUUUAUUUAUUCAAAAAAUAAAUUGUGAUUAUUUGUUAAUGUAUGCGAUUACUUGUGAUGGUAAACAAAGUAGAUAUGGUAUAUUUUGAAGUUAAAUUAAAAAAAAAAAAAACAGAACUUUUACCGUUACUUGCCUUAUCAUCUUUUAAAUUAGAGUUAUUAUUCUUUUAUUUUUCAAGUUGCCAACUCAUCAGUGUAUUCUUUUAUUGAAUUUAAAGAUCAAUGAUUAUAAAUUUUUGUGAAAAUUUUAAGUCAAAACUUUAAAUUAAAAUAAUCUUUAAGUUAUAGGGAAAUAAUAACUUAGUAUAACAAAUAUUAUAUCCUAUACUUUAUUGCUACAAAAUUACGAAACCUUAUAGUUUCAAAAACAAAAAUUACGAAACCUUAUAUUAUAUUAUGUUUCCAUAUUUCUCCUUUAUAGUGAAGACUCAUACUUCUUAUCUAAUAAAUGCUAAAGUAUUGGCUUAAAUUUUUUAACCAGCAUAGUAGACCCUUAAGCUAUAUAUACUAUAAUGUCCCUCUUCUCUCACAGAGUAAACCAAUCUGAUCUCAGAGUGAGUUGAUACCAUGACUUCGCAUCAUUUGUGAUCAAAGGAGUAUCAUUACUAACUAAUAUAGGCUCCAUCAAUAGGCAUGAUAAUAAUUUUUUUUUUUAUCUACAAACGCUGUUUUUCAAAAUAUUAUAUCUUAAGACUUAACUAAAUAUUUUUUAACUAUGUAGAUAUAGUUUGUUUGAUCUCUUUUAAAUAGUGGAGAUUACAAACAAACAUAUGUGAAUUAGUAGUGAUGUUGAGUUCAGAAGCUUGAAGUUAAAAAAAUUAAGGGUUUCUUGAUCUAGAGAAAUUUCAAAUGAGUGAAGCGUCCUCGAAAUCGGAAGACGAAAAUAAGGAAAGGGUAAGGGUGUAUUUUCAAAGUGAUUCUAUUAAGAGAUCUUUGAAGUAGGGGUGGGCAAGUCGGGUUUUGGUUCGGGUUGUUCAAAUUUCGGUUUGGGUUUUAACCCAAUCGGGUUUGAGAAUUAAACUCAAUCGGGUUGAAAACGCCAAUCCAAACUAAACCGAACCAAAUUUAAUUCAGUUCGGGUUCAUAAUUCGGAUCGGACUGGGUUGAUAAUUCAUGUUAAAAUUUCGAUUCGGGUUAAUUUGGGUUAGAAUAAUUCAAUCUAAAAUUUUGGGUUAGUUCGGUUUAAAACGGGUUGGAACUAUUUAAUCCAAAAAUUCUACCAACAACCACUUAAAAUCUAAAAAUCUCAAUUCCAAACAUCCUUAACAACAAAUAUCAACUACAAACCAUCCUUUACAACAUUUCAACAAUAACAAUAGCAAUAAUAACAACAACAACAAUAAUAAUAAUAAUACCAACAACUAUGAAUCAGCAAUUCAACAUAUUGCCAUAUUCUAAAUUUAAAAAAACACACAAAUUAUUUAAUUAAUUAAUUAAUUAACAAUCUCCAAUUUAAUUUAUAAUAACAACAAAAAUCCUCUCCAAUUUAAUUAAUAACAGUCUCCAAUUGUUUAAUUAUCAGUCAACAGCAACAAACCCAAUCUAAUUUAAUCAUAACAAUCUCCAAUUGUUCAAUUAUCAGUUAACAGCAACAAAUCAUCUCCAAUUUGUCACGAACAGCCUCUAAUUGUUUAAUUAUCAGUCAACAACAACAAACACACUCCAAAUAAUUGAACAAUUAUUAAUUAAUUAAUUAAAAAUACCCAAUUUAAUUAAUAACAACACCCAGGAGCAAGUCAGCAAUAAACCCACUACAAAAUCCAAAUAUCAGUGUAAACUAAGUGUCAAACCUUGAUCGGUGGGAAGCUACAGCGUCGGCAAAGCGUGACCGUGUGGGGCUGAGUGAGACCGUCGACCGAGGGUGUGAGAAGGGAGAAGAGGGAGCUGGGAGGUAACAUGGUGUGUGUGAGUUUAUAUAUAUAUAUAAUUUUUAAAAGCCAAAACUUAAAAAAAAAAAAAUUUAACCCAAUCCAAACGCGCACCUCAGAUUACUUCCGUGUUAAGAGAUGAAUCCCACACUCUUGAGCCUUUGUCGUCCUAGUCAACUAUCAAAACAAAUCAUUAUUGAAUGUGAACAGAAUUAUUGAUCACCCAAUUUUCAAACUUGUCAUCCUUAUUGAAUCUGCAUUCCCUUUUAAAAUUUUUUAAAAAAGUACAAAUAAUGAAACAAAGUGUUGUUCCUUCAACAGUUGAUAGAGUUACGCGGCUUCAACUUGCAAGUGCUGUCGGCAUUUUCAAACUUGCAAUACCCUUCAACUUGCUUUCCAAGAUAGCUAUAAUUAAUAAUGACAACAAUCUCCCUUGUAGUGACUAGUGAGCAACUUGUUUCGUGAAAUUAACGGCAUCUUCUCUCACAUUUAAAAAAAAAAAAUUGAAUUAUAAAACCCACCAAAACUAUAAAAGAAUUGUUAGUUUUUCUUCAUUAAAAUUAAUAGAUUGCUCCUCAUAUUGAAAAAUCAAAAUUCAGAAUAAGAAUGAUUGAUACUCUUUAUUUACUAAAAUGAAAAUAAAAUAUAUGAAGCCUACAUAUUUUUGAAAUAAAAAAAAAGAACUUUAUUUUUCAUGAGGAGUGUUGGGAAUCAAGUUCUCAUUAUUUAAACUCUCAAUUGUACCAUUAUUUAAACUCUCAAUUGCACCUCACCGAAAUUUCAUAAUUUCACUUUUGUUCUCAAUUAAAAUAUUAUUAUAGUUAUUAUUCUUAUAAAUGUUGAUGAUGAUGAUACAAGAUAAUAAAAUUAAUGAUAAUUAAACCAAUUUGAAUUCAGAGUGAGUGAGUACCAUUACUUCGCAUUAUUUGAUAUCAAAGGAGCAUCAUAACUAACUAAUAUAGGCUCGAUCGAAUUCAUCAUGCGAAGUAUAUUAUCGGCUGUAGGUAUGGAAAUAAAUUUUGUAUCCACAAACACUAUUUUUCAAAAUAUUUUAAGACUUGACUUAGCAUUUUUUAACCAUAUAUGUAUAGGUUGUUUGACCUAUUUUAAAUAGUGGAGAUUACAACAAAUGAACAGAUGUGGAUUUGUAGAGUUGUUGAGUUCAGAAGAUUGAAGUUAACAAAGGGUUUCUUUAUCUAGAGAAAAUUCGAAAGAGCGAAGUGUCUUCGAGAUCAAAAGACGAAAUAAGGAAAGGGUAAGGUUAUACUUUCAAAAUGAAUCUGUUGAGAGAACUUUAAAGAUUACUUUCGUUAAGAGCUGGAUCCCACACUUGAGUCUUCGUCGUCUCAGUCAGUCAGCUAUAAAGACAAAUUAAUUUUGAGCGUGAAAGGACACAAUUGAUCACCAAAUUUUCAAACUCGUGAUCCUUAUUGAAUCUGUAUUCUCAUUUGAAAAACAAUAAAAGAUUAACAUUAAUUUAACUUCAUCUAGAUUCCCAUUUGAAUCUGCAUUCCCAUCCCGUUGUUCUCUGGGAAUGCACAUAAUCAAAAAAAAUCCUAUCCGCAUUUUCAAACUUGUGACCCUUCAAGCUUUCUAUGACAACUAUAACGAAUAAUUACAACAGUGCUACCUAAUAGUGAGCAACUUGUUUGAUGAAAUUAACAACUUCUUUUCUCUCAUAUAUUUUUAAAAAAUUGAAUUAUCAAAGUUUUUAUUUCAAAAUUAGUGCUAUAGUUCAUUAAUUUUUCAAAUUUUCCUUUUUCUUUCCACACAACAGAUUGAUUUGCCCUCCAAAAAAUGUAUUAUAUUGUUUAAUAUUGUAACUUCAAGAAACUUAUAAUAAAUUUUUAAAGAGAUAAAUAGAGAAUGUCAGUCUCCCAUCUACUCAAAAUUAAUAUAUAUCAUUAACUCUUGAUUAUUUUUAUAACAACUAAUAACUUUCUUGGCAGCAUAAUUUUACAGUAUCAUCCUUGUUUGUAAGUAUAUUUUUAUUCAUAUUUAUUAUAAAUUAAUUAAAUCAUAUCAAUGAAAAUUGAAAUAAAAAUUGAAGUACUAAAAAUUAAAAAAAUAUAUUUUGGUGUGAAUAAAAAAUUGAAAAUAAAAAUAUUUUUCUUAUAUUUUUUGUUAUUUUUAAAUUUUUUCUUAUAAUAAAUGUAUAUUUUAUAUGCUCAACUUUUUCUUUUAAUUUUUGUUAUUAGGAGGAUUUUUAGAUAUAAUGAAAUUUGUAAGGUAGUAAGUAAUAUAUAAUAAUUUUAAUAGAGAAAAGUAAAAAAUCUCUUAUUUUAAAAUAUAAGGAGAAAAAUAAUUAAUUUCAAGACAUUUUAGAAGAUAUUUCAAUACGCGGUGGACCACAAACUCGAGUCUUUGUCAUCUCAGUCAAACUAAAAGGACAGAAUAUUGAGGGCAUGGCUAAGGUGCAGAAGCUGCAAGUAACAGCUUCGAACUUUCCCAUUUCCAUCACCUUGCAUUGGGACCUCUUUCUUUGUCCUCUAGCACCCGUGGAAGUUCCCCAUUGGCCACUGUUAGGAGCUGUAACAUAGACUUCUCCGAAAAUUGAGCGCGAAGGGCUCAAGUGAUUGUUAAUUUCACAGCAAUUGCCUUUUUUCUUUCUUUUUUUUUUUCUAAUUAUUGGAAAAUAUAAUUUAGUAUAACAAAUAUUAUAUCCUUUCCUUUAGUGCUGCAAAAAUUCCGAAACCUUAUAUUAUAUAAAGUUUUCAUAUUUCUCCUUUAUAGUGAAGACUCAUACUUAUUCUCUAGUAAAUGCUAAAGCAUUGGCUUAAACUUUUUAACCAGCACAGUAGACCCUUAAGCUAUAUAUACUAUAAUGUCCCUCUUCCCUCACAGAUUAAAGCCAAUAUGAUCUCAGAGUAAGUUUGCUUCAAAGGAGUAUCCUUACUAACUAAUAUAGGCUCGAUCAAUAGGGAUGAUAAUAAUUUUUUUUUAUCUACGAACAUUAUUUUUUCAAAAUAUUAUAUCUUUAGACUUAACUAAAUAUUUUUUAACCAUAUAUGUAUAGUUCGAUUAAAUAGUGGAGAUUACAACAAAACAGAUGCGAAUUAGUAGUGAUGUUGAGUUCAGAAGAUUGAAGUUAAAAAAAUAAAGGGUUUCUUGAUUUAGGGAAAUUUCAAAAGAGUGAAGCGUCUUCUAAAUCAAGACGAAAAUAAGAAAAGGGUAAUGGUGUAUUUUCGAAGUGAUUCUAUUGAAAGAUCUUUGAAGAUUACUUUCGUUAAGAGCUGGAUCCCACACUCUUGAGCCUUUGUCGUCCCAGUCAACUAUAAAGACACGUUAUUAUUGAGUGUGAAUAUUCCGAGUUAUAAAUCACCAAAUUUUCAAACUUGUGAUCUUCAUUGAAUCUGCAAUCCCUUUUGAAAAAAAAAAAAGAAAAAGAAAGGAAAACUGCAAAUAAUGAAACAAAAUUCUGAUCCUUGAUAGAGUUACGCGGCUUCAACUUGCAAGUGCUGUCGGCAUUUUCAAACUUGUGAGACCCUUCAACUUGCUUUCCAAGAUAGCUAUAAUUAAUAAUGACAACCGAAGACGGCCACGUUUGCGGUACAAAAGUUGCACCAUAUUAGACGUUCUUUUUUGUUCUUAUCCGAAGUAACCGUUGGAUUCAAAGGAAAGUGAUCAGACAUUCAAUAGCUUCACACGUGGACAUUAUAGGAUACCGGUCAAAUCGGUUAGCGCUCCUCCACAUCAAACUCACAAGCAUGGCAAUCAUCGUAUUCGUAUCAGCUUGGAAACUUGUUACAAGUAACGAAGAGCAACAGAGUCCGCUCCUCUAGAGUCGGCAACAGAGUUUUAAUUAACGGCAUCUUCUCUCACAUUUUUUUUUAAAAAUUGAAUUAUAUAACCCACCAAAACUAUAAAGAAUUGUUAUUCUUCAUUAAAAUUAAUAUACUGUUCCUCAUAUUAAAAAAUCAAAAUUCAGAAUAAGAAUAAUUGAUACUGUUUAUUUACUAAAAUGAAAAUGAGAAUAAAAAUAAAAUAUAUGGAGCCUAUAUAUUUUUUAAAUUAAAAAAUAAGAACUUUUCAUGAGGAGUGUUGAGAAUCAAGUUCUCAUUAUUUAAACUCUCAAUUGUACCUUACCAAAAUUUCAUAAUUUCACUUUUGUUCUCAAUUAAAAUAUUAUUACAGUUAUUAUUCUUAUUUUUGUAGUUGUUGUUGUUGAUGAUGAUGAUUAUGAUGAUACAUGAUAAUAAAAUUAAUGAUAAUAAUAAUGAUAAUGAUAAUGAUAAUAAUAAUAAUGAUAUGAUAAUGAUGAUAAUAAUUUGAACAACAACAACAACAAUAAAUAAUAAUAAUAAUAAUGAAAAUAAUAACUAUAAUUUUAACAACAAUAAUAAUCAUUAAUAUUAUUAUUGUUAAAAUUAUUAUUAUUAUUAGAUAAUUAUUUUGAAUAAUAAUAAUCACAAGUCUAUUCUGAUUCCAGUUUAUUCCGAUUAUCGAUUAGAAAAUGCAUCAUUACUGUUUUAAUAAUAACUAAUAAUUCUCUUGACAUCAUAAUCGUAAUUCUUAUACUAUUAUCCUUAUUUUAAAAUCCACUACCAUGAGCUUGCAUCAUUUGAAAUGGUAGGUACUAGGUAGCAAUUGCUUACAUCAAAAUAUCUAGACUCACUCGGCAAAGUAUCCGAGGCCAAAACGCCAAAAGAUGGGACACCCACAUGUGCAUCUAAUUACAAAAUCUAAAGUUAAUGAAAAAGAAAAAAGAAAAAGUAUAAAUGAACGGUAUUGGCUGUAGGACAAGGGGAGGGGAAAAAGGACCAUUUUGUUUUCUUUGCUAAUUCACAUGGGGAAGGGAAAAAAAGAAAAAGACAGUUUUGAUUAAAAAACACAGAAUAUUCAAUUCACAAGCCACCAAUGCUUGUGGACCAAUGGUCGAUAUAUGAAAGUUAGAGAUUCUGGCAAAAUGAGCAAAUAUUUUGAGUUGAUUAAUGGAUUUGUUUGUAAUGCAAUACAAGAUAGCAUUUUAAAGCUGGCAAGAAAGAAAGAAAUAAGUCAAUAAUUGAGAUAUUUAAAGAAGCUCAAGUGGUCAUGAAAUCUCUCCUUAAAAACUAUACAAGAUAAUGUUAAUGAUAAAGUUAGCCAACCAAGUCGUUCAAUCAUUGCUAGAAGCAAGCAGCCAUUGAAGUUGAUAGAAGCUAAUGCAUGGAAAAAGGUUCGUUACAUAAAGGAGAUAAUGAGAAAAUUGAUGAACCCCUAUCAUCCAUGUUUUGUUUCAAUCAAAAGGUUUGAAUUUUAAGGCCGAUAUUUUGGACUGAAUCCCCCUGUCUGCUUCCAAAGGGGAGGAUGUGCAUGUAGUUGAUUGGGCCGAUGAUUGUGAUGGGAGGGAACUUUUAGCUUGGAAAUGGACCUAGCAAGCCCAUGUUUGAUUCGGUAAGUUGUGACUUCUCAUGGGCAUUUGAAAUUUUUAAAUGGCCUUUUAUAACCUUUGUCAAGAUUCUCAGAAAUCGAAUCAUUCGGUGAUUACUUGCAAAUUCGGAAAGGAAAUUGGAAUCAAACUGGGGUUCUAAUUAAAAAAAAAAAGGGUUCAGAAUCAGAAUUUUGUUCUUUUGACUGACUAAACUACCCUCAUUUAAUUUUCAAAAUGCCCAAAUUUUUAUCAUGCUCACUUGGCGUUAUCUCGUCUUGUGGGAGCUGUAGGACAGUUGAGAUAAAAGAUAUUGCUCCAGUAUCUACUGUUUUCUCAUCCUGAUCUUCAGAGUUAUUCUCAACAAUGGACAAAUUUGAGUUUAGAACAGCAUCAGAAACCAAUGACACCCAGUCGCAUCCAGCUACUUCUUCACUUUGCUCAAUUCGACAGAUUUUACGCAAAUUUGUUUUGUUCUCAAAAUAGUCUGCUGCUCCCGGAUUGUCCUCAUUACAUUGAACGAAUGAUGACGACGCUCUGUCCGUUUCUGGCUCUCUGCUUUUCUCUUUCACAUCACGAGACACCUCGUUUCUAACUGGGGUACCACCAUCACAUUUAACUGUUAUUGGCAACUCAAUAGCUAAUUCCAAUGUUUCCUCAAGCAGUUUAGAGAUAAACUCUCUCGCUGAACUCCCUGGAGUAACACAAUCCAGUUUUCCAGUGCAAUCAUCAAACAGUUGAACAGCUCCUGAAUUCCCUUUGCUUUUCUUGUUUUCUUUUCCAUGUAAAGGGAGCUCAGGCUUCAAUAUAUCUGGGGAUUGAUUACUAAUGAUAAAGACAACAUGCUGUAGAGGACACAAAUUGUUAUUAAACAACGAUGCACUUUUCAUUUUUCAACUGAGUACGGUAAAGCAAGAAUGGGUAAUUAGUUUUACCUGCUAAGCGAAAAUCUACACUCCCGAAGGUAACCGAUCUUGGGUGAAGCAAAUAAAGACGAAGGCGAAGUAAAAUUCACUGAGUUGAAUGAGCGAUCAUUGCUGAUAUAAUUAAAGACUGGUGAAUCCUGCAUGUUGACAAGCAUCAUUUUUAAUCUAACAUAGAGUCUUAAAAACCUGGUCAGUGGCAAAUGAUCACGACAACAAAUCUGAAGUACAAACAGCAGAGCUCAACAAAUCACUAAGAGAAAAUAACACCAGUAACCAAGCAGAUGAAAGAAAAGCAAAAUAAUCCAUCUCAAAUCACCACAUGCACAAUUUAAGGGGGUUGUGACAUGGGUUUAAGCAUGAUUUAACAAGUGCCACCAGUGAAUUCUCAGAUUGAAUUUUCAUACACAUGUCAAAUUUUCAAGUCCAACGAAUUGUUAUCUUUCUGAAGAUAUUAACUAUGCAUAGCAUGCUAUAAACAAAUCAUAUUAUUAGGGCCUUUGUUUGCUGUACACAACAUAUGUACAGAGGAACAAAUCCAUGAGCUGAAAUCAUCAUAUUCCAAAAUAUUCUACCCAAUCAACACUACAAAACCGUAACGCUAAACAGAAUUGGAGCAAUUUAAGAAAGCUAUUUGUCACACAAAGCACUAGUACCUCAGAACCCAAUUUGCAAAAAAGCAACAAAAAUGAAAAAUAACAAAUGCCCAGAUGCAAAAUCAGGAAAAAAUGCUCAAAUACAAACUACAACCCCAUAAGCUGAGAUUGACCUCAAACUUGGAAACAGAAGCGACAGUGAUCUGUUUCUUGUCUGGAGUGUCCAUUUCUAUAAUCUACUUUGUCCGUUUUCAGUCGCUCCGCCACAAAGCCUCUUCACUCCGAAGCUGAAACUCGCCACACACUUGCAAAACGAAAGCAUUUGAUUGAUUGAGAGGCGGGAAGGCGGGAAAACGAGCGAAAUUUGCUUUUGUUUUUUCUUCGUUUGGUCAUACAUGUGCGGGCCCCCCAGGUUGACAAGCGUUAUCAUUACUAUUUGCAUUAUUUGAAGGACGCGUGUCAUGCAACGACGAUAGAAAAAGUGGUGCAAAACUCCAAUUGUCACGAAAUGAUGAUAAAAUAAAAAUAUAUCGUUAAUUUUUCACUUAACAUUGGAAUAUCAUAUAAUUUUAUGGUCAUUUUCUCGCCGCCACAUUCUUUUGAUAAAAUAAUACGGUAAAACUUUUCUAUAAUCAUGAUAUUAGAACCCAAUUAACUUUGUUUCUACAAAGAGGUUAUAGCUUAAUAAAGUAAAAUUGUAAAAAAUAUUAUUUUGACUUAAUUAUCUAAAGAGUAAAUAUAUAAUAAUUAAUUAAUAAAUUAUGUCAAAUACAAUAUAUGGACUAUGAUAAAAAAGAUAGACAUAAUUUCAUAAAAUUAAUACAUAUGUUUUUGUAGUGCUGCGAUUAUACAAAGUUAUCUUAAAAGUGUAAAGAGUAAAGUAUUGUUUUAAUUAAUUUAAAAAAAUAUUUUAUUAUUAACCUUUAAUGCAACAUAGUAAUUUUUUUUCCCUGGCAACAAAGUAUUGUUCCAAAUAAUUAUUAUUGGAUCUAGAUCCUGCCCUAGGCAUUUUCUCUACUAAUCCUCAUAAACUUUUAGGGUAUGUUUGGCACGUAAGAUUAGAUUGGACAAACUAUUAUGAUUGGACUAACUUAGAAUGGAUUAGAUUAGAUUGGAUUAUAUAUAGUGCUGACUUAUGUUUGGUAUGGUAUUGGAUUAGAUUAUGUUAAAUUAAAUUUACAUAAAAUUAAAUAGUAUUUACAUUAAUAUUUGAAUUUAAAUAUCAACUAUUUAUAGAUAUUUAACAAGAAAUAUUAUAAUUAAUUAAAAAUAGCAAUUGGGUAGUCAUAAUUAUAAUAAAGAAAUAUAAAUUAUUUAAAUUAUAGGUUAUUUCAAAGAGUGAUGAUACAACCACAAAUUCUUGUACAAACUGAUUUGGCAUUAAUUCAUUUAUUGAAUGAAAAUAUAAAAUAAUAAAAAUAAAUCAUGUGGGCCCAAGAUAUAUUUAAUUCAACCAAUUUUAUCAUGCCACAUCAGUUUGUACAAAAAUUUGUGAUUAUAUUAUUACUCUAUUUCAAAUGAGAGAUAUCAUUUCAUUGAAUAAAAUAAAUAAAAUUAUUCAAAUAAUAAAUUAAUUAAUAAAAUUUAAGUAAAUCAUGAAUAAAAAAGAAAUCAAUUAAUUAAAAACAGUAAAUAAUUAAAUAAUUUUUAAUUUAUAAAUAAAAUGGUAUAAUAAAUUAUGGAAGAUACUAUAAAUACACAAAUAUUUUUUUCACAUUAUCUAGUUCUAACUAAACACACAUAAAAAUUAGGAUUAGCAAUCCCAUGAAUUUAGGAUUAAAAUUUGAAUUUAGUCGAUUAAUCCAAUACAAGUGAGCAUGCUAAAUAUGGUAUUAAUAUUUUAUCCCAGUAAUAAGUCCAAUUCUACACUUAAUCGUACCUCCCAAAUAUAAUCUUAAGGAUCUAUUGACAUGUGUCAUUAAUGAAAUUAAAUGGCUAAGAUUUUGUUUUAAUUAUUUUUUACCUAAAUAGACAUCAAAACUCAUGUGUGACUCUUGUUAAAUUUUUUCUUACAAAUUCUUUUCCUCUUAAUUCUUUAUAUUUUGACACUAAUUUCCAGCAAAUUAUUUAAAAAAAAGGAGCACAAAUUGGAAAAAAGUGAUUGACAACAAGGUUUGCAUCUUAAUUUCAAAAUUUUCCUUUCUUUGAUGUUUUUGUGGUUUCUAUAAUUGUUGUUUUCACUCUAAGUUGCAAUUCAAUGAACUAAAUUAGUGUUGCUACUUUAUAAACUGCUAUUACUGGGCAUAUAAUUCUAUUGCUACAAUUUUUUUGAGUUUAUAGUUUCUGUUCUAUUCUCUUUUUGGGUUUGCAACUGCUGUUUGUUGUUUUUUUAGGUUUUAUAGUUGAUGUUUUGGGAAAAAUAAAAAUAAAUGUGAUCUUGAAUUCUUUAACUACUAUGAAACAAUUAAAUUAUUUAGCUGCUGCAUUUUCUGCUGUAUUAUUAUAGGCGAGAUGUGUGUCGAAAGGGAAAGAAUUUGCCUAAAAAAAAAAAUUGACAAGAGUCACAUGUGAGUUUAGAUGUCUUUUUUAAGUAAAAAUUAAUUAAAAUUAAAUAUUAGCCAUUAAUAACACAUGUCAAUAAAUUUUUCAAAGUCUAAGAAGAUUGGAAGAGGAUCCGAUCUAUUAUUUACUCUAUAAAAGGAAGUUCCUUGAAGACAAGAACUAUAAAUAAAUUAAUAUAAUGAAUUUAUUCUUAACCUAGUCUAAAUUGAGACUAAAAUUUUUUACUUAAAAAUUUACUAGCUAGCUUUACCUUGAUGGACUAGCUAUGGCCCAUACACAUUUCUCCAAUUUUAUUAAUAUUUUUGUGCAUAGCAAUUAGGGAUACGUGACAAUAAAUUAUCCUUUUAACAUAUAAAAAGUAUUCUCACAAGUAGUGUGCCCCUCCAAAGGGCACAGACAGACUUUUAGCCUCUUUCUUCGGUUUACCACUCCAGUUGGAAUCUUCAAUAAGAUUAAACAUUGAAUAUAUCUAAAAUAUUAGCAAUAUUUGUACUUAUAUUUAACAAAACUAGAGUAAUAUAUUGAUUAAUCUACAUAAUUUUGGGCGGGUUCUUAUGUAAUGUUACAAUUAACAUAGAUUAUUUUCACGGUAUAAGGCAAAUCUUGAGAAUGAACCCAUUUCAAUAUGGUUUCCACAAUAAAUGAACCCACUUUACUACCAAUGAAAGGCCUUGACUCAUAUAUAUCCACCUGGAAAGAAGGGGGGGGGGGGGGAGAGAAGAAAUCUUCUAAUUUCUUUCACCAUCAACAAAAUCAGUGAAACACAUACUAAUUCAAAAUAAAAUAAACUUUGUGAAUUGAAAUAAUGCCUGCUCUAAAGAAAAUGAUAACUGCUAUUCAUUUUUCUGAACUGCUGAUAAAAGCUUCUGCUAUUUACUUCGAAAAAAUUGAGUAACUUCAAAUUUUGAGUUUAGGCAAGAGGAUGAAUGGUAAAAGUGAGACAUUUUAGGGGAAAAGUAAAUACUUGAUAGGCCAAUGAAACAUUCAAAAGAUUGAAAUCUAAAUGAGCAAAACCUCAUGGCCUUGAGGCCCUUGAUCCAACAAUUCCACUGCUGUUGACAUGCCUGCAAGCCCAACUCCAAUAAUAGCCACUUUCAGCUUUGGUCCUCUAUAAUGUUCCGGUUCUGGUGGAAACAAACACUUGGGAGCUGCCAAGUAUACCAUUCAAUUAUCCACAGCGAUAUUGGAAAAACAUACAUGUUUGAAAGUACUAAAUAUCAAAUGUCUCCCGAAAAAAAUACAAAGCACAAUUGCAUAAGCAUUUCAUUUCCCAAUAAAUUUCAAGAAUACAAAAUACUUGGUCUGUUCUUGAGUUCCUUUAAGAAAAUUUCCACGAGAGAGCACGCAAGCCACUCAAUAACACUCCAAAGUCAGAUUUUAAACGUUAUCUUGAUCUAUAAGUACAAUCCAUGAACCAUUCUGCCACAAAUUCAAUUAAAAAUUAUUCAAGUAAAAUGCCAAAUUCUCCUUCAAUAGCCUCAAAAAUUCAUAACUAGCAAACACUACAGAACAAAAAGAGCUCCCAGCAAUAAACGCAUAAAAAUCCCACCAGAAACCAGAAAACCCAAAAGAUCAAUACUUGGUAAACAAACAAAUCAAAUCAAAUAAAACAAAAAGAAGAGAAAUUUACCAUUAACACUCAUAUCAGAAACGUUAGUAUCCAAAGAAGCCCGUACACAGAAUCUUGGAACCUUCACUUGAACCCGAGACCAACAAACACCAGUAACUGAAGUUGCAGGAAACAGAAGUGAAGAACCCAUAUUGAAAUAAAAGAAUCCAAACCCAAAGUGCCACAUCUAAAUAUGAUGGAUCCACUUAAAAUAAACAUAUAAAAAUCUUCAAUAUGAGUGCGAAAAUGUGUGGGGGAAAAAACUAAAAAGUGGUUUACCAUGCAGCAAUAUGAAUUUUAAGCUCUCUUUUCUUAUGUCACUCAAGGCAUUGGCUGGAUGGCCAAACAGCAGAGUUCAAGUGUACAAUAGAGAAUCGAAAUUUUCCUUUGUAAAUGUUCAUAAGUAUUUACCACAGAUUUUUAAGUUAUUCUUGAUAGAUCCCCUACCACAUACGCUAUAAUAUUUCUCUCCUUUUAAUUUAAAAGUAAAUCAUGCAUAAUAACGCACUUGUAAAGAAAUGAAAUUUUCGGUAAUUAACUGACAAAAUAAAAAAAAAGGAUUAUGCGAAAGAAGUUAAUAUAGAGUAAGUCGAGUACUUGACAAUCAAAGUAAUUUACUCGAGGUUGAGUAAGGAUAGUACGAUACUUUCUCAAGUUUUCUGAGGACAUUCAUGUGACAUUGGACUAUUGAUUAUAGUUAGAGAGAAGUCCAAGGAUGUAAGUGAUGAUGAUAGAUUCAGAAUUCUUUUGAAGAAAAUAUUUUAUAUAAACUUAAUUAUAUGGUAUAAAAUGAUUGGCCUUAAUAAAAUUAAAAAAUAAUAAAAAUAAUACACGCCUGGGUCAUGCAAUAUUUUCAACCAACUAAUUUACACGCAAAAUUAAAACUUUAUGAGUACAUUUAUUUGCUAGCAGAAACUCUGCCAAAUUUUCCGAAAUGUGAAAGUGAACACUUUUAACAGCGGCACAAAAUGCCUGUGAUAAUGAAACAAUGUGCCAUCCUUAAACUAAUAUUAUUAGAAACUAUAAGUGAAAGUUUUCAGAAAACAUGUGAUAAGUUUUUCUCGGAAUUUGUUUUCUCCUUUGUUUUGAUUUACGCGAGAGAUAGUUGUAAAGAUUGUUUUGAUAAGUUUUCAGAAAACAUGUGACGAAUCGUAGUAAAAAAUUUAUACAUAAUAAUUGAAUGAGAUCCAUGGUUCACAAUUGCAAAUUAAAGGUUGGUUUUAUAAUAAAAAUCGUUUUGUGCAUACCAAAUUAGAAAAGAUUAUAAGUAAAUUAAGAUUUUCAAAAUUUGACUAGUACUAUAUUACGUACAUCAAUAUAAUAUAAAUUUGUUAUAUUUAUAUAUGUUAUUCUGUAACUAAUGCUUUCAAAAAUUUUAUACUUGUAUGUUUGAACAACUUUUUUUCGCUUUCUAUUUAUAUACGAUAUUAUUUAUGUUUACAUAAAUUUUCAUAUGUACCCAAAUUAAGUAUUAAAUACACACACUCUGGUAAGACACAUUUCUAGUAUCAGACAAUGAUAUUAUAUUGAAUGUAAUGCUUCAAUGAAUUUUAUUACUAUAUACUAAAAUACUCAACGAUCUUCAUUAAAAAAAAAAAAAAGAAAUUGCAUGAUUAGAAUGAUUAAAGUUCAUUUAAUGACGAGUUUCAUCAUUGACUGUGUCGAAACAGAACAGCAAUCCACAAUACACUCAACACGAGAGGCGCACACAAGCAUGCAUGAAUCUUCCACCAUUAAACCUGAAAUCAUAAAAUGAAAGAAACAAGGUGAGUGUUGUUUUACGGUCUGAAAGCCGAUUCGAAAUAAUAAUAAUAAUAGACCUUUGUUAAUAGUUACUACUAGUGGUCACUGCCUUGUCCAUCUUCCUUCUCUGUAUUAUCGUCCUCUUCCAAGCCGCUGUCAUCUGACCAAACCCCAGCAACCAUGGGAAAAAUCACCUACUUGUUUUAGGAGCAGGAGCAGGAGCAGGAGGAGGAAAUUAAGUUAGGGAUUUGGAGUGAUAGGGAAAAAGCUGAUUGUUGAGAAAUAUGUAUACCUUUUGUAUGGUUGUGUUAAGGUCGCCCUUCCAAGCCCAACGUGCUUCACUCCGCCGCUGCACUUCGUGUAAUUUGGGUGUACUUAAAUUUCCUUCAGAGAAAAUCUUCAUAUCGGGGCAAUCAUCCACCACUAAUAUUUCCAAAGAUGGGAACUUGAAAGCACAAUUGCCAGAGCAGAAGCUUGUCAAACUUUUUAAGUCUAAAAGCUUCAACUCCUUCAAUUCUCUGAAAGUAAUAACCUCAUCUUUUGCCACAACAUCAUCCACCAAUACUAUUUCUGUUAUCAUAACGCAUGAUUUUAUCUUCAUAUAUCUAAGUCGCACCAGAGACUUUGCAAUUGAGGAUGUUAAUACGAUUUUCAAUCUUUCGCAACUGAAUACCACCAGAUUUGUAAGAUUCUGAAAGGAUGUCGACGAUGGCACUAGAUUGACCAAACGGUCACACCCCUUUACACGUAGAAUAACCAAGUUGUUCGUAACAGAGGACUCCCUUAUCAAAAUGUUCUCCAGAUGAUAACAAUUAUUUGCUUCACUUAUUUCUACUGCCAUACCAUUUUCAACCUUCUCUUUCGGCGACCGGCCACCAUAUCCUUGUAUUUGGAGGACUUUCAUUGUGUGAAGUCUCUGGAGGAAGUCAUCAAGUGAUACAAUAGUCGGCUCAUCAACCAACUCCACAAAAAGAUAUUUUAGUUUGCAAAGCAAGUCUUCAAAAAAUAGAUAUUUAUUUGUUCCUAUGUACUUUGCAUCAACUUUCAACUCUUCCAAAUUAGGGAAUACCUGGGAGAUCGAUCAGAACCAAAAAAAAAAAAAAUACAAGAUGAAUCAGUUGAUGAGAAUUAUAAGUUACCACUAAUUUAUACAAUAUAUUUUAUUCAAUAAAUCAAUAAAUACAAGAUAAACUUUCACAGUACAUACAUAAGAAUUGAAAAAUUGAUUAUAAAACUCUUGUACGUACCCUUUCCGUCAAGAUAUUAGUAGUUCUUUUGCAUCUCGCCAUGAAUUCAGGACAUCCAGAUAUCCCUAAUUCUUUCAAGGAUGGAAAUUCAAGAUUAUCAAGAUCUCCAGUGCAGAAGCUUGUGAACUUUUCAAGAUCAGACAUCCUCAGAGAUUGCAACUGGGGAAACGUUACAAUAUUAUUCUUCAUUUCUUCUUGGUUGUCCACGACUAUUAACUCUUCCAGGACAGGACAUUUGACUAUCAUAAUGUGUUGGAGUCGAACAAAGCUACUAACUGUACAAGAUGAAAAUAGACAUCUUAAAUUCAUACAGCUGUACAGGGUCAAGCGCGUUAAAUUCUGAAUACCACAAGACAUGACUGCAACUUGGUUCAGCCAAAUCCUCUCAACAUUUAUUGAAUACAACAUCAACUCCUCCAAAUUUGGUAAUGCAACCUGCACGAUCAAAAAAUUAACUUGUUAAUUACAAGCAACAAUGAUUUCUGUUGAUGGACAAAUCAAUAAAAUUACUCUUUCUCUGUUUAUAGUUCUUUUCAGUUUUUCAUACAAACAACCGUUAAUCAAGUUUUCCAAAUUAUUCCUUACUAAAUUUUGGUUGAUUCGCAAUAGGACCUACUAUCCAGCGCGAGCAGUUCUCGGGGAUUUAACUACUGGCACCUCGAUUAUAUAAAAAUUUAGACGGCGGCUAAUAUAAUUUAUAUGUAUUCUAAUGACGUAUAUUAAAGAAAAUGAUUAACCAUAAUUUCAAUCAACUUAUUAGUCUAUAUAUAUAUAUAUAUAUAUAUAUAAUAUUCAGCGAUUACAACAUAUUUAGUAUUCCAUAACAUGAUGUUUAUAAUAAUAAUUAUUAUUAAUUCACUUAUUGUGUCAGAGUAUCUUUUCUUUCUCUAAGAAUGUAUUUGUUACACCCUACUAUACUUCGGAUGAAAAAUUUAGAAUAAUUGUGAAAUAUAAUUAUUAAUCACUCUUUGCCAUAUUUGUUACCAAACAGGAAUAUAACAAAGAAAAAAAACAAAAAUUAUAGAGAAUUAAUAAGACGAUUGACUUAUUAAUAACUGACCUUCUCAGGGAAAAGUGUAUUAUAAAUUUGGACAUUGUCCUCCAAAAUGAUUUCAUGUGACUGCAAAUCAUUAGCUGAUUCCUCUUGUCUCUGUUGACAUUGCAGGUAUCUUGAUUUUAGAGUGUAAACUUAAUUGUGAGCACAAUCUUAAUGCAUAGAUACAAGAUCUUUAAAAAUUAGUAUAAGAAACUUAGCACUAAAUCCAAAUUUGAUAUUUUGGAUUCCAUGAUUAAGAUUUUUUAAAUAAAAAUUUAAUAGAGUUAAUUUAAAAAUAAAAAUUAAAUAUGAAAAAUAAACUUGCAAUUAUGGAUUUAAUUUUAAUAAAUAAUGAAUGUUCUCUUUAUAUUUUUUUUAAAAGGUAAAAGAGCGUACAAAGCCCAAAUUCAUUUUUUUAAGUCCUUUACUCUCCCAUGAUUCAAACUUGGGUGGUUGUAGGAGGACUGCAAAUAUAUAAGACAGUUAACUUCACUUUUUUUUUCUUUUUUUUUUUGUUGAGAGAAAAGAGAAGAAGGAUAUUACAAAGCAUGAAGCUCGUGCAAUAUAAGGGCAAUUAUGGUUUUUUCUUUAAAUUAAAAUGGUAAGAUUCUGAAGCUAAAAGAUUAAAAUAUUAAUUAAAUUGCAAACAUUAAAGAUUUUUUUUGCAAAUGGUUGCUUUUAAAAUGAGAAUAAUAUAAUAUUUGAAGACUUUUCAAAAUUAAUUACUGUGAUGCACUAGAAAUUUCUAGCUUUAGUCUAAUGUAUAAAUUGACAAAACGAUAUUCGAAUCCCAGGUGAAAAGAACCCUCUCAUACCAAUUAUUUAAAUUAGGAAUGAUCAUACCUUUGACUCUGCCGGAUUGAGGGCGAGCCAGAGACGCUUGAGAUGGGAAGAGCCCACUUUGACUAAUUCAUUACGAAAAUAAUCGACAUCUUGCUCUUGCAAUCGCCAUAACUCAAGGUCUUCAAUUCUCUGCAGUUGCACGAUCAGCGAAUCCUUCAAGCAAAUCUUGUUAUUUAGCUCGAGACUGAAUUCACGACACCCAAUGCCGGUGCUCUCCCAAUAGCCAUCAUCUCCAAUGCGUAUGCUGUACCUUUCCAGCUUCUCCAAGAGCAGGCCUCUGGGCAGAGUGCUGACGUCACGGGCGCGUAAUUCCAAAGAGGUCAAGUUGGGCAAAUGCUUCAACUCCUCAAGGCUUGCAUUCUUAACCCCUUCUUCCACCUCCACCUCCCAAGCAGCAAAGCUUUGACCUAUAUAUAGUUCUUCUAAACGGGAUAAUUUUGACAGUAUAUUUGGUGGAAUAACUUCUAGGUCCUCACAAUGUCUCAAAUCAAGCAACUUUAGCCAAGUCAAUUCACCUACUUCUACCGGCAACUUCUUAAUAUCAGAAUCUCUUAGGCAAAGGAUUUCUAGUUUCUUCAAGUCUCCUACAACACUUAGAUCAGGCAGGUAGCACCAACACAAACUCAGUGUUCGAAGGUUUGACAGGAGACCAAGUGAUGAAGGCAAUGACCGUAGAUCCAUGUUAGUCAAGUUUACAACUCUGACCUCGAUCAUGCUCUUGAAAAAGUUGUCUGGAAUUGUUACUCGUGAAUAUUCCCAAGGAUCAUCACUUAUAAAAAGAAGUUCGAGCUGAGGACAUUCCAGUACUUUAGGAAGCAAAUUAGUGUUGAUAUCAUGUAAGACGAUUGAAGUGCAAUGCUUUAUUGCACUUCCGUCCGACCAUUCCCUGCAACCAUCAACCUGCUCAUUUGUAGCAGUAAACACAUUUCGUUCAGUAGAUGCAAUUGAUCUGGCGACAUCGCGAACUACAUCAUGCAUAGAAAACAACUCUUUCUUCUGGCUUAUAUGGUCAAGCAACAUACAAGAAGCUUUGAGUGUGCGCACCAAUGUAUGUACUCGAUUUCGUGCUACUUCAAUCUUAUUCACACCUUGAAAUAAACCCAAUCCCAUACCACACAUUAACAAGUCUUCAAUAGAUGCUAUGGCUGUAUAUCCUAUUAGCAAAAAGAUGUUCUUGAGAUCAUCCCUUCCUAGUUUAUUGUAGCUCAACUCGAUAGCUUUAAAUGCGGCUGGCUGUACAUCCUUAAAAUUCGAUGAAGAAGGCCUUCUUAGCUGUUCCAAUGCAUCCUUCCAUUCACGUAUGCUCUUGUUCCUUAAUGCCCUUGCAACCGUCACAAUGGAAACUGGUAGACCUGCACAUUCCU
rnacentral:lncRNA from 1 species